ACGCACGCUGGCGGCAUGCCUCACACAUGCAAGUCGCACGAGACCUUCGGGUCUAGUGGCGCACGGGUGCGUCACGCGUGGGAACCUGCCCUUAGGUUCGGAAUAACUCCCCGAAAGGGGUGCUAAUACCGGAUAAUGUCUUCGGACCAAAGAUUUAUCGCCUUUGGAUGGGCCCGCGUUGGAUUAGCUAGUUGGUAGGGUAAAAGCCUACCAAGGCGACGAUCCAUAGCUGGUCUGAGAGGACGAUCAGCCACACUGGGACUGAGACACGGCCCAGACUCCUACGGGAGGCAGCAGUGGGGAAUAUUGGACAAUGGGCGAAAGCCUGAUCCAGCAAUGCCGCGUGAGUGAUGAAGGCCUUAGGGUUGUAAAGCUCUUUUACCCGGGAUGAUAAUGACAGUACCGGGAGAAUAAGCUCCGGCUAACUCCGUG
rnacentral:rRNA from 1 species